GAUGAACGCUAGCUACAGGCUUAACACACGCAAGUCGAAGGGAAACGGCAUCGAAAGCUUGCUUUUGAUGGGCGUCGACCGGCGCACGGGUGAGUAACGCGUAUCCAACCUGCCCAUCACUUGGGAAUAACCUUGCGAAAGUAAGACUAAUGCCCAAUGACAUCCCACGAAGGCAUCCGAAUGGGAUUAAAGAUUUAUCGGUGAUGGAUGGGGAUGCGUCUGAUUAGCUUGUUGGCGGGGUGACGGCCCACCAAGGCAACGAUCAGUAGGGGUUCUGAGAGGAAGGUCCCCCACAUUGGAACUGAGACACGGUCCAAACUCCUACGGGAGGCAGCAGUGAGGAAUAUUGGUCAAUGGGCGAGAGCCUGAACCAGCCAAGUAGCGUGCAGGAUGACGGCCCUAUGGGUUGUAAACUGCUUUUAUAAGGGAAUAAAGUGGGUCACGUGUGACUUUUUGCAUGUACCUUAUGAAUAAGGACCGGCUAAUUCCGUG
rnacentral:rRNA from 1 species